UACGAAGGGGGCUAGCGUUGCUCGGAAUCACUGGGCGUAAAGGGCGCGUAGGCGGGAAUGUAAGUCGGGCGUGAAAUCCCUAGGCUCAACCUAGGAACUGCACUCGAAACUGCGUUUCUUGAGUAUCGGAGAGGAAAGCGGAAUUCCUGGUGUAGAGGUGAAAUUCGUAGAUAUCAGGAGGAACACCAGUGGCGAAGGCGGCUUUCUGGACGGUAACUGACGCUGAGGCGCGAAAGCGUGGGGAGCAAACAGG
rnacentral:rRNA from 1 species